CGGGGGAGGCCAGAUCCUGGGCUGUGUCCCGGCGCCUGCGCUGUUGGAUUCGUGCUCCUGCCCCGCAGCCCCCU
rnacentral:pre_miRNA from 1 species